AGAGUUUGAUCCUGGCUCAGGACGAACGCUGGCGGCGUGCUUAACACAUGCAAGUCAAGGGGGCCCAGCAAUGGGCAACCGGCGAACGGGUGCGUAACACGUGAGCAACCUACCGAACUGUGGGGGAUAGCCGGCCUAACGGCCGAGUAAUACCGCAUACGCUUUCAAUGAGGCAUUUCAUUGAAAGGAAACCUACGGGACAGAUCGAGGGGCUCGCGGCCUAUCAGCUAGUUGGCGAGGUAACGGCUCACCAAGGCAACGACGGGUAGCUGGUCUGAGAGGAUGGCCAGCCACAUUGGGACUGAGAUACGGCCCAGACUCCUACGGGAGGCAGCAGUGGGGAAUCUUGCGCAAUGGCCCAACGGCUGACGCAGCGACGCCGCGUGUGGGAUGAAGCUCUUCGGAGUGUAAACCACUGUUGCCCGGGACGAAUAGCUCGAUUAAUCGAGCCUGACGGUACCGGGUGAGGAAGCACCGGCUAACUCCGUGCCAGCAGCCGCGGUAAUACGGGGGGUGCGAGCGUUGUCCGGAAUCACUGGGCGUAAAGGGCGCGUAGGUGGUUUGAUAAGGGUGUGGCGAAAGUCCGGGGCUCAACCCCGGAUCUGCCGUGCCGACUGUCAAACUCGAGGGCUGUAGAGGCAGACGGAAUUCCGGGUGUAGCGGUGGAAUGCGUAGAGAUCCGGAGGAAGACCGGUGGCGAAGGCGGUCUGCUGGGCAGUUUCUGACACUGAUGCGCGACAGCGUGGGGAGCAAACAGGAUUAGAUACCCUGGUAGUCCACGCCGUAAACGAUGGGUACUAGGUGCCUGGGGGAGCGACCCUCUGGGUGCCGGCGCUAACGCAGGAAGUACCCCGCCUGGGGAGUACGACCGCAAGGUUGAAACUCAAAGGAAUUGACGG
rnacentral:rRNA from 1 species